UAAAAUUUAAGCUUAUUGAGGGCAGGUACUGUUUCCUGUUUUUGUCUUUACAUCUCCAUUGCCCAACAUGCUGCCUUUUCAUUAUAGGAAUUCUUUAAAAUGUGCUGAUUGACAGAUCCUGAAACAACGCUGUUCCUUCAAAUUAAACGUGUCCUUCAAGAUUCAGAACAGAUAAGGAACGGAAUGGAGAAAGGAAGGAAGAAAAGAAACACAUGCAAAGAUCCCAUUGAUGGUAGAUCCCAAAGAGACAGACUAUGGGAUAGCAUGUUUGUCUUCUCUGAUGUCAGCCUUCAAAGAAAAUAGCCCCUGCCCCCUUGGUAACUAGGAAGUAGGCACUGAGGGGAAAGAGAAUCAUCCAAAGGAGUCUGAGGGCAGAGGUCUUGGAUCCCGUCUCAACAGGGUCAGCCUCCUCUUCAGAGUAUCAGACUUCUGACCCAAUUCCUUCAGAAUAACAGAAAAUUAGAACUGGAAGAGGCCUUCGAAAUCAGAAUCCAGAGCUAUAGAAAAGCUCAUAGCCAGAGGGUCCUCCAAUCAUCACUGCUUCUGCUGAUUUCUCCUCAAUUCUGGAAACACAAGUACUACCAGUCAGUACUCAGGGUAACAGUCAAACCCUCUAAGGAAUCCUCCUAAUACAUUGUUUCUGCAGAAAAG
rnacentral:lncRNA from 1 species